AUGUUAUCGGCAGCUUGCUUUGCUUUCUCUCCUUGCGGUGACAUCACCCACCUCGGCUCUCUUUCUCGGCACCGUAGCCUGCAGCCUGGCACAUCUCGGAAGGGACAGCCUUGGGGGCUUUCAUCACCAGCCACCUGGACAGGCCCAUGGUUUUGGAUCCUGAGUUGUCCUGUUAGGAGUCUGGGUACUAUGGAGCUGUCAUGUUGAAGAGCUUUGUAUGAAGAGACUGCACAGAGACAGAGGCCCAAGGAAACCCAGCUGUUCUAACCCUGCCGUGCCUACGUCCUCUAUGCUCAGCCACAGACCUGUGCGUGAAGAUGUCUCUAAUGUGACCCAGCUUCAUUCAUAGUCUUACUCCAACCUCAAGAGACCUCCCCCCGCAACCCAGGAUUUCCCAGCUGACCACAGAAACCAUGAAUGGCCUUUUCUUUUCCAGGACUUCUCUGAGGCCUGGUGCUCCUGAGUUGUGGCAAUGAAUUGUUGAUUAACCAACCAACCUCAAGAAAAUGGGCUCUGUAUCAAGUCUAUAUUGCCAAAAAGGAGGAGAAGACCCUGAGGGUUGGGAGCACAGAUGGUUCCUUCAGGGACUCCUUUCCUGGGGCAGAGGCUAAAGGAGGUCCAUGAUCAUCUUGUCCAUGGGACCGCGUGACCAAGGCCAGAUGCAUGUCCCAAAGGGUGAUAUCACAUCCACAGAGGAAUAGAGCAGAUUUCU